rnacentral:rRNA from 1 species
UACGUAUGGUGCAAGCGUUAUCCGGAUUUAUUGGGCGUAAAGGGAACGCAGGCGGUCUUUUAAGUCUGAUGUGAAAGCCUUCGGCUUAACCGGAGUAGUGCAUUGGAAACUGGGAGACUUGAGUGCAGAAGAGGAGAGUGGAACUCCAUGUGUAGCGGUGAAAUGCGUAGAUAUAUGGAGGAACACCGGUGGCGAAAGCGGCUCUCUGGCCUGUAACUGACACUGAGGCUCGAAAGCGUGGGGAGCAAACAGG